rfam:Gossypium hirsutum cultivar TM-1 scaffold4421.1_1, whole genome shotgun sequence
UGUUAAAAAUUUCAUCCAUUUGUAUUCUUAAAAACCAAUAUGGCUGACGGAAUAACCAGAAAGUGACAUGUGUACAUGAACCACUUUUUAACAAUAGAAAUAGAUGAAAUUUUUAAUA